CACUGAGAAGCUAAAUAGGGAUUAGCAUUAGCCUUUUAAGCUAAAGAUUGGUGGCCCCCAACCACCCCCAGUGA
rnacentral:tRNA from 6 species